rnacentral:misc_RNA from 1 species
UUGUGGAGAAGGACGCCGAAGGUGGGGCUGAUGACUGGGGUGAAGUCGUAACAAGGUAGCCGUACCGGAAGGUGCGGCUGGAUCACCUCCUAACAGGGAGACAAUAAAUAGAUUGUGAUGUCUAAGCUAAUUAUUCUUAGGCCGCAAUCCUGUCACCUUAAGGUCGAUCGGUACCUCAGAUUUCGAAUUGAUUUAUAAUUAAUUCUUUGAUUUCAGUUCCUAAACUUGUCUAGGUCACACCCAACAAAGGUUUCUCCUGGGCCAUUAGCUCAGGUGGUUAGAGCGCACCCCUGAUAAGGGUGAGGUCCCUGGUUCAAGUCCAGGAUGGCCCAUUCGUUGUUGGGGGUAUAGCUCAGUUGGUAGAGCGCCUGCUUUGCAAGCAGGAUGUCAGCGGUUCGAGUCCGCUUACCUCCACUGAAAACUAUCCUGCUAACAAAUUCCGGAGAAAAUUGUAGACGUGGCUUAGAAUUGUCUAUUUGAAAAGAACCUAGCUUCUUAUCAUCUUUUUAUAGUUGAUAACAUGCUGGGCCCGUAUGGAUUAAUUCCAUUCGAAUUCAGUAGAACCUUGAAAACUGCAUAGAUUAGAAAGAAUAAAGCAUCUCAUGGAUGCAUAAUUCCAUUUUUUUAAUUUAGCAAAAAAGCUAAAUUAUAUAAAUAUAGAAUUCAUGUUAAAUUCUUGAGUAAUAGCCGAGCACAAUUGAUUUUGUGAUUGUAUUUAAGGUCAAGCUACAA